AGCGGGGGAUAACAUUCGGAAACGGGUGCUAAUACCGCAUAAUAUCUUCUUCCGCAUGGAAGAAGAUUGAAAGACGGCUCUGCUGUCACUUAUAGAUGACCUUGCGGUGCAUUAGUUAGUUGGUGGGGUAAUGGCCUACCAAGACGAUGAUGCAUAGCCGACCUGAGAGGGUGAUCGGCCACAUUGGGACUGAGACACGGCCCAA
rnacentral:rRNA from 1 species